rnacentral:rRNA from 1 species
GGAGACUGCCGGUGACAAACCGGAGGAAGGUGGGGAUGACGUCAAGUCAUCAUGGCCCUUACGGCCUGGGCUACACACGUGCUACAAUGGUCGGUACAAAGGGUUGCCAAGCCGCGAGGUGGAGCUAAUCCCAUAAAACCGAUCGUAGUCCGGAUCGCAGUCUGCAACUCGACUGCGUGAAGUCGGAAUCGCUAGUAAUCGUGAAUCAGAAUGUCACGGUGAAUACGUUCCCGGGCCUU